rnacentral:rRNA from 1 species
GAUGAACGCUGGCGGCGUGCCUAAUACAUGCAAGUCGAGCGAACAGACGAGGAGCUUGCUCCUCUGACGUUAGCGGCGGACGGGUGAGUAACACGUGGAUAACCUACCUAUAAGACUGGGAUAACUUCGGGAAACCGGAGCUAAUACCGGAUAAUAUAUUGAACCGCAUGGUUCAAUAGUGAAAGACGGUUUUGCUGUCACUUAUAGAUGGAUCCGCGCCGCAUUAGCUAGUUGGUAAGGUAACGGCUUACCAAGGCGACGGUGCGUAGCCGACCUGAGAGGGUGGUCGGCCACACUGGAACUGAGACACGGUCCAGACUCCUACGGGAGGCAGCAGUAGGGAAUCUUCCGCAAUGGGCGAAAGCCUGACGGGGCAACGCCGCGUGAGUGAUGGAGGUCUUCGGAUCGGAAAACUCUGUUAUUAGGGAAGAACAAAUGUGUAAGUAACUAUGCACGUCUUGACGGUACCUAAUCAGAAAGCCACGGCUAACUACGUG